UGGGGAAUAUUGGGCAAUGGGCGCAAGCCUGACCCAGCCACGCCGCGUGAGUGAUGAAGGCCUUCGGGUUGUAAAGCUCUGUGGGAAGAGAAGAAAAACUGGUAGCUAAUAUCUGCCAGGUUGACGGUACCUUCUUAGCAAGCACCGGCUAACUCUGUGCCAGCAGCCGCGGUAAGACAGAGGGUGCAAACGUUGCUCGGAUUUACUGGGCGUAAAGCGCAUGUAGGCGGGCGGAUAAGUCGGGUGUGAAAUCCCUGGGCUCAACCUAGGAACUGCAUCCGAAACUGUUCACCUUGAGUAGUGGAGAGGAAAGCGGAAUUCCCGGUGUAGAGGUGAAAUUCGUAGAUAUCGGGAGGAACACCAGUGGCGAAGGCGGCUUUCUGGACACUAACUGACGCUGAGAUGCGAAAGCGUGGGGAGCAAACA
rnacentral:rRNA from 1 species